rnacentral:lncRNA from 1 species
GUCGAUUUCCUGGUGCUUCCUGUGCCCAGCGCUGUUCCCAGCCCUCUCCAUGGAUUAACUCACUCUCUCUAUUCCUGAUUUCCCUGGAGUGUAGGCAAAUCAGCCCCACUUCACAGCUGAGGACGCUGAGGGCAGUCGUGGUAAGGCCAGGUCCCUGGCAGGCUGGCCCCGGAGGUGGAUCAGGUCCCUCUCCCACCUGGGAGCCGGGUGGGCCGAUGUCUUUUUUUGGCGGGGACCAGGAGAGUGAAAGCCUGGGAGCUGGGUUGGCCAAUGUCUUUUUUGGGGGGGGGACUCUUCAGGAGGGUGAAAGCCAGGCUCACUGUCCCUGGGGGCUUCCAGCACCAUGAAGGUGAGUGCCCCCUGGCCCCUGAACAAGGUCCCCCUCCACCACACCCAGGCCCCCUCCAUCACACCUAGGCACCCUCCAUCACACCUAGGCACCCUCCGUCGCUGCUUCCCCGGCUCGGCAAGGCUUCACGGAGCCCACUUCUUGGAAGUGAAUAUGGAUGAGUUUAGGCCCCUGCAAGUCUCCCGAGGAGAAGCUGGGGGUGCCCAGUGGGCCUGUGCUGGGGUGGGGCUUCCCAGGAGUGGUCAGAGAAGACACGGUGGCUUUGGCCUUGCUGUUUGGGCCUCUUGCUCCCCGGGAUGCCAGCCGCCAUGUUGUGAGGACACUCAAGCAGCUGCAGGGUGAGAAACCGACACCUAACAACCACGGCCUGGUCCACAGGAUCCCGGGGAAGCCGUUUCUGAAUUCCUGAACUACAGACACCGUGAAGUCAUGAAUUUGUUUUGUUUUUGGUUUUUGAGGCAGGGUCUCGCUCUGUUGCCCAGGCUGGAGUACAACGGUGCGAUCACGGCUCACUGCAGCCUCAACCCCUGGGCCCAAGCCAUCUUCCCGCCUCAGCCUCCCAAGUAGCUGAGACUAUAGGCACGCACCACCACGCCUGGCUAACUUUGUAAUUUUUUGUAGAAAUGAGGUCUGUGUUGCCCAAGCUGGACUCAACCUCCUGAGCUCAAAUGAUCUCCUGCCUCGGCCUCCCAAAGUGCUGGGAUCACAGGCGUGGGCCAUGGUGCCUGUCAUGAGGUCUUCACUGUUGGGUUGAGACUCUGCAUUUGGAGGUGGUUUAUUAGGCAGCAAUAGAGAACCAUGGCAGCAAAUGUUAUCAUUUCUGGGAUACUGAGGGUAAGCGUGGCUGUCAUCCAGGAACAGGCUAGAAGGAGACUCUGGACCCCGGGCCGUCAGGGCUGAGUGACCCUCAUCCGUGGUACCUCACGGCCUCUCUGGAAUUCUGGGGUCUCUGUUGGACACUCUGGGUGACACCCUGUGGUUCCUGGAGACCCCUCCUGCUGGGUUUCACACACGGCCUCGCCGACGGGCCAGAAGACCACAAUGGCUUUGAAAAGCAAGAGCCGGCGGUGUUGCCUCCUAGGAGCUCCCUAGGGACCAGGUGGGGCUGGCUUGGGCCCAGGCCAGACCUAGCCCCUGAGGUUUGCUAAUGGAAGGUGGGUCUGGGUUCUGCCCCCAUCAGCUCCUCCAACAAGAGCCCGGGCAGGGAGGACAGAAUUAUUUUUAACCUGUGAUCUGCCAGGGAAGUGCUCUGUAACUCAGGGGAAGGCCCCAGACUUGGCAAGGGCGGUGUCUUCAGGAGCCAAGCCCCUCACCUCUCCUGCCAGGGGUUCCUUUUACCGUCUUAUGGUGGAUUUCCCUUUUCCUUGGGCUUUUGGGGUAUCCACGGAGCAGAGCUGUGACCUGGCUGGCUUAGGGUUUUUUUUUUUUUUUUUUUUUGAGACAGUUUCACUCUCAUUGCCCAGGCUGGAGUGCAGUGGCGCGAUCUUG